rnacentral:rRNA from 1 species
AGUGAACGCUGGCGGUAGGCCUAACACAUGCCAGUCGAACGGCAGCACAGUAAGAGCUUGCUCUUACGGGUGGCGAGUGGCGGACGGGUGAGGAAUACAUCGGAAUCUACUUUUUCGUGGGGGAUAACGUAGGGAAACUUACGCUAAUACCGCAUACGACCUACGGGUGAAAGCAGGGGAUCUUCGGACCUUGCGCGAUUGAAUGAGCCGAUGUCGGAUUAGCUAGUUGGCGGGGUAAAGGCCCACCAAGGCGACGAUCCGUAGCUGGUCUGGGGGGAUGAUCAGCCACACUGGAACUGAGCAACGGUCCAGACUCCUACGGGAGGCAGCAGUGGGGAAUAUUGGACAAUGGGCGCAAGCCUGAUCCAGCCAUACCGCGUGGGUGAAGAAGGCCUUCGGGUUGUAAAGCCCUUUUGUUGGGAAAGAAAAGCAGCAGGUUAAUACCCCGCUGUUCUGACGGUACCCAAAGAAUAAGCACCGGCUAACUUCGUG